AUGAAGUUGAACCUUGUUCGUGCCUGCCGCAUCCUCCUGAUUGCAGUUGCCAUCCUCCUUUGUCAGUUCUACUCGUCUGAAGCUCACAGAGGAUUGUUAGUACAUGAAUUAAGAGCACCAUACCGAUCUCCACCACCGACACCAAUUCCGAGACCACCAAUCAUCCCGUACUACGGUUAUACCCGUAAGUUUCGCUAGAUUUCAUAUCAUGAUUCAUGGCCUUCUAAUAUGCCAUAUUUAGAGUGGAUGUGGGAUUCAUGGCCUUCACUAGCUAAAUUAGUUGCCAUCUCGAUCCUAAUUUAGUGGCUCCUCAAUUAUAAGUAGGAUACUGUUGUUUACAGGACGAUCAGUAUAUGAAGAAAGAGCACCAUACAAAUCUCCACCGCCACCACCUCUUCCGGCACAAACAAGUAAACCCUAAAAUUAAUGGAGCAACAGGAUGAAUCACAUUCAGCAAAGAACCUCCCAGAUUACAGGGUAAGAUAAAAUGGCAUGAUAUGAGGAGUCAAGCAUAUGCAGACGGGAAAGAAAAGAUCCAUCCAUUACCAACAAAUACUACUAAAGAGAACUCUGCUUCUUUUCCUGAUAAAUUGUAAUCAGUUAACCAUGUUGCAAUAAAGUUACACAUUCUUAAAACUUUUGAGAGGAUGAUUUUUAAAAUAUCAGAUAACAUAAUUUACCUAAUCCACAUUCAAUGAGGCUAGCUUUGUUGAUUAAGAAAUCAUGCAUCAAGGCCUUGAAUAUUUUAGGAUCUAUUGAUCCUGCAAGAUGAUUUCCAAGUCAGAGACACAACAGCAAAAAUUGGUCCAUACAUGAGAUCCAGAGAGAUGAUUUCUAGUCAUAAGAUCAACUCAACUGUUGAGGAUGAAUGGCAUCAGUCCUUGGAACUCUCUAUAAGUGCCUGGACAUGAAAGAGUCAUGGUUUGCACAAACUCAUGCACAAGAAAGAAGCAUGCAAGUUCAUCUCAAGAGAAAUGGGUACUCAAGGUUUUAGUGACCUAGCAAAAUUUGAUGACUAAAUGCCACCCUUGUUGUGCAACUAGUUACUGGAAACAAUAAAUUUCAAUAUAUUUGCGGUUCAACUGUUCAAAUGCACUGCAAUGCGGUUUACUAAAAGCCAAUAUGAAAACACAGUUUCUCAAUGUGAAAAAGUACCAGGGCAUUAAAACUGGAUGAACAACAUGAAACAGAAAAACAGUAUGGGAAUAUCUUAAAAUAUCAACUACUACAUAUCCUAAAUAAGGAUCCUGGAGUAAGAAGAAAAGGCUCACGCACAAUAAUCAUUAAACCAAAUGCGAAAUCGAUAAUCCAAAGUAUGAGAAUACUAAUCAUGGUUACAACAUUUGACAUGAUCUACAGAUGGAAAACAGAUUCCCUGUCCAAAAAGUUACCUUUGAUCUUCUUUGUAUUCUUCUGAGAGCUUGCAUUAAUUAUCCUAAAUACAGAUUAAGGCCAAGUAAGCAGACAUCAGAGAAAAACAAGUUCAGAAUACAGUCAGCUUAUACACAAAGUACUUCAUUCUAAUCACAUAAAUGACUUUGAUAAUAAAACAAACUAAUCCUUAUCCAACAGAGUUAAUUGCAAGUCUAAAUGCAAGAAGACUACAUGUGGAUUAGCAUGUAUAGCUUCCAGUCAAUUUAAGAUCAACCAGCCACAUCACCACUUGCAUAUACCAUCUUUCAUGGCAUUUACAUAUAUAUCCUGUUUGGAAACAGUAUUUCCUCCAAAUUUGAUAUUACAUAUCCCUCCAAAAGUUCAGAUUUAUAUAUAUAUAUCCCUCCAAAAACUCAAAAUCUUUUAUUUCUGUCAUCCCUGAUAACAUCAACCCAAUAAACUCGAGUUAAUUACUACUAAUCAUUGUAAUCACUAAAUUUGAAUAAUUCUGAUUACCUAAAAUGCCCUUUGUUACUCCUGUUCAAUUAGAUGAUUCCUUAUAUUCACUAACAUUUUUUAAUGAGAUAUUAAUGUCAAUUUGAGUUUCAACCUCAUUAUAUUAAUGCUCAACUGACAGAUUAACUACAAUGACAUACAAGUUUUCGAGCUUUGCUUAAGUUAAGAUAAGGAACCAUGAAAACCACCAAC